GCCGAGGUAGCUCAGUUGGUAGAGCACAGCACUGAAAAUGCUGGUGUCACUGGUUCGAUUCCAGUCCUCGGCACCA
rnacentral:tRNA from 1 species